rnacentral:rRNA from 1 species
GACGAACGCUGGCGGCGUGCUUAACACAUGCAAGUCGAACGGAAAGGCCCUGCUUUUGUGGGGUGCUCGAGUGGCGAACGGGUGAGUAACACGUGAGUAACCUGCCCUUGACUUUGGGAUAACUUCAGGAAACUGAGGCUAAUACCGGAUAGGAGCUCCUGCUGCAUGGUGGGGGUUGGAAAGUUUCGGCGGUUGGGGAUGGAAUCGCGGCUUAUCAGCUUGUUGGUGGGGUAGUGUCUUACCAAGGCUUUGACGGGUAGCCGGGCUGAGAGGCUGACCGGCCCAGUUGGGACUGAGCUACGGCCCAGACUCGUACGGGAGGGAGCAGUGGGGAAUAGUGCACUAGGGGCGGAGGCCUGAUGCAGCACAGCCGCGUGCGGGAAGACGGCAUGCGGGUUGUAAACCGAUUUCGCCUGUGACGAAGCGUGAGUGACGGUAAUGGGUAAAGAAGCACCGGCUAACUACGUG